ensembl:lncRNA
GAUGUUGUUGCACCUCUAAGACUCAGGCAGUGUAAACCCAAGGCCAGUCCUUGGCUAACCGAUUUUACUCGAGCCAUUAGAAGAGAAUGUAGAUGUGAAAGACGAUGGAAAAGGGACAGACUGUACGUCUCUCUGGAAGCUCUUAAGAUGAGCUGUAAAGCUUAUCAGAGGGCAGUAAAGAUUGCCAAAAACUCCUAUUUUUCACAACUUAUUGUUGUUAAUUCACAUAACCCCCGUGUUCUGUAUACCAUUAAUUCUGUACUAAAUGCAGAGGAUCAUGUUCUUUUACAAUCUUCUGAGGUUAUGUGUAAUAAGUUUCUUAAUUCCUUUGUGGAUAAGGUUGCCAGUUUGAUACCCUCCACUUUAUAUUCUGUUGGCCCGGCUGUGCAUGUUCCCUGUUUAAAUUUGCUUAUUGCUUUCAAACCAAUUGUUCUACCUGAAUUAGAGAAGCUUGUGUUAACUGCCAGGGUUUUAAUAGUUUUGCAAUUUUCAUUAGUUUUUAUUUUUAUUUAGUUUUGACUUCAGAUUUUCAAUUUUAUAUCAGUUUUAAUUAGUUUUUACCAAUUGUUUGCUAGUUUAGUUUAUUUUUUAUUUUUUUGAAAAUCCUUAGUUUCAGUUUAUUUUAGCUGUGUUUGCAAUAAUUAAGUGUAACAAAAGGUCAACAGGUCGCCUGUCUGUCGCAGGGCUAACACGCAGAGACAGACAACUCACAUUUCCACCUAUGGGUUCUCAGUGUUGGGGAGUAACGGAAUACAUGUACCGCCGUUACGUAUUUAAAAUACAAAAUAUGAGUAACUGUAUUCCGUUACAGUUACCGUUUAAAAAGGUGGUAUUUAGAAUACAGUUACUUUGUUGAAAUAAAUUGAUUACAGGACGGUACUUUCCUGUUUCAUAUUGUGGCGGGUCAGGACUGUUUGGGUUUUGUUUGACAGCUGUGUUCUGUUGUUCCAGGUGGCAGCGUUACGGUUGCCAUGGUUACAGGGUGACUCUCUCUCUGCGUGUUUCCUGGGUGAGAGAGCGCCUUUUUGUUGUUGUUGUGCUAAGCUAAUAGGCAGAAUGCUACAGAUAUAGCUCUAAAGAAUGUAGCAUCAUAGGCAGUGUAGUCCGUGCUGCAGGGAGAAUGGACUGCCAUACCCGUUAUGUGUCUGUGAGCGAGGGAGGGAAAAAAAAGGAAAAGUACAAGCUGUCAAUGAGCAGAAACGAGAGCUGGAAG